rnacentral:misc_RNA from 2 species
AACGCACAUUGCGCCCUUUGGUUAUUCCUUAGGGCAUGCCUGUUCGAGCGUCAUUUCAACCUUCAAGCUCAGCUUGGUGUUGGGUGUUUGUCCCGCCCCCCGCGCGUGGACUCGCCUCAAAUUGAUUGGCAGCCGCAUCCCCCCGCCGCGAGCGCAGCACAGUCGCGCUUACGACGAGGGCGGGUCGGCGCUCCAGAAGCCUAUUUCAACGUCUUGACCUCGGAUCAGGUAGGGAUACCCGCUGAACUUAA